GACGAACGCUGGCGGCGUGCUUAACACAUGCAAGUCGUACGGUAAGGCCCUUUCGGGGGUCCACGAGUGGCGAACGGGUGAGUAACACGUGAGUAACCUGCCCACAACUUUGGGAUAACGCUAGGAAACUGGUGCUAAUACUGGAUAUGUGCUCCUGCUGCAUGGUGGGGGUUGGAAAGCUCCGGCGGUUGUGGAUGGACUCGCGGCCUAUCAGCUUGUUGGUGGGGUAGUGGCCUACCAAGGCGGCGACGGGUAGCCGGCCUGAGAGGGUGACCGGCCACAUUGGGACUGAGAUACGGCCCAGACUCCUACGGGAGGCAGCAGUGGGGAAUAUUGCACAAUGGGCGUAAGCCGGAUGCAGCAACGCCGCGUGCGGGAUGACGGCCUUCGGGUUGUAAACCGCUUUCAGCAGGGACGAAGCUUUUUGUGACGGUACCUGCAGAAGAAGCACCGGCUAACUACGUG
rnacentral:rRNA from 1 species